GACAGAGGCCUCAAGCGUUAGGCGGAAUCACUGGGCUUAAAGCGUGUGUAGGCGGAUCGUUAAGUGUCUUGUGAAAUCCCACGGCUCACCCGUGGAACGGCUGGGCAUACUGGCGAUCUUGGGCCAACUAGGGGCAACUGGAACAAGCGGUGGAGCGGUGAAAUGCGUAGAUAUCGCUUGGAACGCCGAAGGUGAAAACAGGUUGCUGGGGUUGUGCCGACGCUGAGACACGAAAGCCAGGGGAGCGAACGGG
rnacentral:rRNA from 1 species